UUCCGGUUGAUCCUGCCGGAGGUCACUGCUAUCGGGGUUCGAUUAAGCCAUGCGAGUCGAGAGGGUUCAGACCCUCGGCGGACUGCUCAGUAACACGUGGAUAAUCUGCCCUAUGGUGGAGGAUAACCCCGGGAAACUGGGGAUAAUACUCCAUAAGUCAGGAGUACUGGAAUGUCUCCUAACUGAAAGUUGCGGCGCCAUAGGAUGAAUCUGCGGCCGAUUAGGUAGUUGUUGGGGUAACGGCCCAACAAGCCCGUAAUCGGUACGGGUUGUGGGAGCAAGAGCCCGGAGAUGGAAUCUGAGACACGAUUCCAGGCCCUACGGGGCGCAGCAGGCGCGAAAACUUUACAAUGCAGGAAACUGUGAUAAGGGAACCCCGAGUGCCCGUACACGCGGGCUGUCCCGGUGUUUAAAACACAUCGGAAGAAAGGGCCGGGCAAGACCGGUGCCAGCCGCCGCGGUAAUACCGGCGGCUCGAGUGGUGACCACUUUUAUUGGGCUUAAAGCGUUCGUAGCUUGAUUUUUAAGUCUCUUGGGAAAUCUCACGGCUUAACUGUGAGGCGUCUAAGAGAUACUGGGAAUCUAGGGACCGGGAGAGGUAAGAGGUACUUCAGGGGUAGAAGUGAAAUUCUGUAAUCCUUGAGGGACCACCGAUGGCGAAGGCAUCUUACCAGAACGGCUUCGUCAGUGAGGAACGAAAGCUGGGGGAGCGAACGGGAUUAGAUACCCCGGUAGUCCCAGCCGUAAACUAUGCGCGUUAGGUGUGCCUGUAACUACGAGUUACCGGGGUGCCGAAGUGAAAACGUGAAACGUGCCGCCUGGGAAGUACGGUCGCAAGGCUGAAACUUAAAGGAAUUGGCGGGGGAGCACCACAACGGGUGGAGCCUGCGGUUUAAUUGGACUCAACGCCGGGCAGCUCACCGGAUAGGACAGCGGAAUGAUAGCCGGGCUGAAGACCUUGCUUGACCAGCUGAGAGGAGGUGCAUGGCCGUCGUCAGUUCGUACUGUGAAGCAUCCUGUUUAGUCAGGCAACGAGCGAGACCCCC
rnacentral:rRNA from 1 species